rnacentral:rRNA from 1 species
UGGGGAAUACUUGCACAAUGGGGGAAACCCUGAUGCAGCGACGCCGCGUGAGUGAAGAAGUAAUUCGUUAUGUAAAGCUCUAUCAGCAGGGAAGAAAAUGACGGUACCUGAGUAAGAAGCCCCGGCUAACUACGUGCC